AGGAGCGAAAGCGUGGGGAGCGAACAGGAUUAGAUACCCUGGUAGUCCACGCCGUAAACGGUGGGCGCUAGUUGUGCGAACCUUCCACGGUUUGUGCGACGCAGCUAACGCAUUAAGCGCCCCGCCUGGGGAGUACGAUCGCAAGAUUAAAACUCAAAGGAAUUGACGGGGCCCCGCACAAGCAGCGGAGCAUGCGGCUUAAUUCGACGCAACGCGAAGAACCUUACCAAGGCUUGACAUAUACAGGAAUACGGCAGAGAUGUCGUAGCCGCAAGGUCUGUAUACAGGUGGUGCAUGGUUGUCGUCAGCUCGUGUCGUGAGAUGUUGGGUUAAGUCCCGCAACGAGCGCAACCCUCGUUCUGUGUUGCCAGCAUUUAGUUGGGGACUCACAGGAGACUGCCGGGGUUAACUCGGAGGAAGGUGGGGAUGACGUCAAAUCAUCAUGCCCCUUAUGUCUUGGGCUGCACGCAUGCUACAAUGGCUGGUACAAACGGCUGCAAUACCGCAAGGUGGAGCGAAUCCGAGAAAGCCAGUCUCAGUUCGGAUUGGGGUCUGCAACUCGACCCCAUGAAGUCGGAGUUGCUAGUAGUCGUAGAUCAGCAACGCUACGGUGAAUACGUUCCCGGGGCUUGUACACACCGCCCGUCACAUCACGAAAGUCGGUAACACCCAAAGUCAGUGGCCCAACC
rnacentral:rRNA from 1 species